rnacentral:rRNA from 1 species
GAUGAACGCUGGCGGCGUGCCUAAUACAUGCAAGUCGAGCGAACAGACGAGGAGCUUGCUCCUCUGACGUUAGCGGCGGACGGGUGAGUAACACGUGGAUAACCUCCCUAUAAGACUGGGAUAACUUCGGGAAACCGGAGCUAAUACCGGAUAAUCUAUUGAACCGCAUGGUUCAAUAGUGAAAGACGGUUUUGCUGUCACUUAUAGAUGGAUCCGCGCCGCAUUAGCUAGUUGGUAAGGUAACGGCUUACCAAGGCAACGAUGCGUAGCCGACCUGAGAGGGUGAUCGGCCACACGGGAACGGAGACGCGGUCCAGGCGCCUACGGGAGGCAGCAGUAGGGAAUCGUACGCAAUGGGCGAAAACCUGACGGAGCAACGCCGCGUGAGUGAUGAAGGUCUUCGGAUCGUAAAACUCUGUUAUUAGGGAAGAACAAAUGUGUAAGUAACUAUGCACGUCUUGACGGUACCUAAUCAGAAAGCCACGGCUAACUACGUG